UUUUCAACAGUCUUCAGGUAGGGUAGAGAUUGUGAAAGGGAGUAUCCACUGUCUCCAACGAAUCUCUUCUCCCACAGUUAUUUUCUGGGACACUGCACUAUACAACUUUAUUUGACGGCAGAACAAUCAGAGGCUGUAAGCUUGACACAUGGCAAAAUGCUUCUGCUGUUUCUGAGUCUCUGUUUGCUCACUUCUAAUGUCCAGUCAGAAAAACAAGGGGUUAAUGUAACGUGUGAAAAUCAAUCGGUUGUAGCAGGACAGAACCACAACCUGACAUGUAGAGUGGAUUACAGUGAUGCAUAUCAGAAUAAGACGGGUGAUGUAGGUAACAGUGAGACGGGAUGUAAAACUGAACAGUAUUUCUGGAAGGAUAAAUCAAAAACUCCAAUACGAAAUUGUGAUUGUACAAAAGAUUGUAACACUACGAUAACAACCAACACCUACUUUUGUGAGAUCAAAAAUGUUACCAAAGCUGAUGAGGGAAACUACACUUUUACCAUUAACACAAACUGUGGCAACGGACAUGGCACAUUGAAUGUUUCCGUUACAUGGGAGGUGUUCCUCAUGAUGGAACAGAUGAAGGUGUCCGUAGCAGACCUGGACUCUGUCCCUCUAGACCACGUGCUGAGUGAGGCAGGGGCCAAGCCUUGGUGAGACAUGAGGGCAAAGGAUCCGAGGGCUUCCUGGAACACGUCUUCAAAUACGCUGCGAAGGAACUGUUUGGUCUGGAUGUCGACCAGAUCACAUACAAGACUCUCAGGAACCGUGACUUCCAGGAGGUGUGUCUGGAGCGGGAUGGGGAGGUGCUGCUGCAGUUUGCAUCCGUCUACGGCUUCAGGAACAUCCAGACUCUGGUCCACCGCAUGAGGACAAGACACAUCCCCUACCAACUGGUGGAGGUGCUGUCAUGCCCCGGCGGCUGUGUGAGUGGUCGUGGGCAGGCAGAGGGAGAGACAGGGGGUCGGGUGGACAAGGCCUUGGUUCAGCAGAUGGAGGACGCCUACAGCAGUCUAACAGUCAGGCUGCCUGACACAAACCCUGACCUACUCAUACUCUACCAGGAUUGGCUGGAGGGACAGGACUCAACGCAUGCCAACACACUCCUACACACACAGUACACACAGCAGACCCCCAGCCAGACACAGACACACAUACAGUGGUGAGACACACACACACACACAAACCCAAACACACCUCAACAUCCAAAAGCCCAAUCAAUCACUGACCCUCUGUCUUCUAAGGACCCACUGCAGUGGUUUCCAUAGGUACCAUUGUAUAGGCGGGGAUGGCCAGAGGGCCUGGAUGCUGUGAUUGUGUUCCUUUGCUCCCUGCCUAAAGAAUCAUCUCUGGAAAACACCCAUAUAUCCAAGACUUGAUUCUGAACUUCCUUACUCGACCAGAAGGUGGUGCUGUUAUCCCAUCCGAUGUACUGCUCUCGAGUGUUGUGGAGGCUGAUCCACUGCUUUCACCAUGGAGGGAAACAGCAAAUAUUUGUGCUUUGUUCCAGAGGGAAUUCAUGAUGUGACAGACACAUUUGUGACAUUGGGAAAACAAUUGUAUCUGAUCCAAGGGGAUGAAGCAGGAAAACUAUCAAUCAAACUGUGUCCUGUUAACAUGUAGUGAAUGUGAAACCUGUAAGUAGGACUAAAAGCAGUCUUAGAAGUGAUCCAAACAGUUGAAAUAAAACCAGUUGUACUUGUUUCAACUGACAAAUGGA